rnacentral:snRNA from 1 species
AUCGCUUCUCGGCCUUUUGGCUAAGAUCAAGUGUAGUAUCUGUUCUUAUCAGUUUAAUAUCUGAUACGUUCUCUACCCGAGAACAUCGUAUUAAGCGGAUUUUUGGAGCCAGGAGUCGGGGUGGGAGCUUGCUCCGCCCGCUCCACGCAUCG